rnacentral:rRNA from 1 species
CAGUAGCCACGGGAAUACGUAGGUGGCAAGCGUUGUCCGGAAUUAUUGGGCGUAAAGGGCUCGCAGGCGGUUUCUUAAGUCUGAUGUGAAAGCCCCCGGCUCAACCGGGGAGGGUCAUUGGAAACUGGGAAACUUGAGUGCAGAAGGGGAGAGUGGAAUUCCACGUGUAGCGGUGAAAUACGUAGAGAUGUGGAGGAACACCAGUGGCGAAGGCGACUCUCUGGUCUGUAACUGACGCUGAGGAGCGAAAGCGUGGGGAGCGAACAGGAUUAGAUACCCCGGUAGUCCCUGUCUCUUAUAC